rnacentral:rRNA from 1 species
GAUGAACGCUGACAGAAUGCUUAACACAUGCAAGUCCACUUGAAUUUGGGUUUUUAACUUAGGUUUGGGUGGCGGACGGGUGAGUAACGCGUAAAGAACUUGCCUCACAGCUAGGGACAACAUUUGGAAACGAAUGCUAAUACCUAAUAUUAUGAUAAUAGGGCAUCCUAUAAUUAUGAAAGCUAUAAGCGCUGUGAGAGAGCUUUGCGUCCCAUUAGCUAGUUGGAGAGGUAACGGCUCGCCAAGGCGAUGAUGGGUAGCCGGCCUGAGAGGGUGAUCGGCCACAAGGGGACUGAGACACGGCCCUUACUCCUACGGGAGGCAGCAGUGGGGAAUAUUGGACAAUGGACCAAGAGUCUGAUCCAGCAAUUCUGUGUGCACGAUGAAGUUUUUCGGAAUGUAAAGUGCUUUCAGUUGGGAAGAAAGAAAUGACGGUACCAACAGAAGAAGUGACGGCUAAAUACGUG